UACGAGGGGUCCUAGCGUUGUUCGGAAUCAUUGGGCGUAAAGCGAGUGCGGGUGGCUCUUUAAGCCAGAUGUGAAAUCCCCGGGCUCAACCUGGGAAUGGCAUUUGGGACUGCAAGGCUGGAGUGCGGCAGAGGAGACUGGAAUUCCUGGUGUAGCAGUGAAAUGUGUAGAUAUCAGGAGGAAUACCGAUGGCGAAGGCAGGUCUCUGGGCUGACACUGACGCUCAUGCACGAAAGCGUGGGGAGCAAACAGG
rnacentral:rRNA from 1 species